UGCCAUCUAAUCUCUGUGCUUUUGGGGCUCUGCGGGGUUGGCAGAUGCAGCUGUGUGGGCUUUGUGAGGGACAAACUUUCACUGUGCACAAGUUAUUUCUCAGCUAUGCAAAUGCUCACAUACUCAUUGUUUCAUUUGCUCACACACACACUCAACUCACUCACUCACUCACUUCUGGUGUUUUGGUGUUCAUUUCUCUGCUGGUGGCUAAUUUAGCAUGGUCUCCAGGCUACAUUUCUGCUCUUUGCUUUUUUGACAGCGGGAUUUUUCACUGUUUUUCUGCUGAAGAUUUAUCUGUGUCCAACAAAAUCAUUAUUACUGCUCAUAAUUGAGUGGGCAUUUUGUAUUUAUUGAUCAUUUUAAUCACUCAACAUCAAAGUCCAUCCAAGUCAUUGUCAUUUUCCAUUCUAUUUGUGCCAUUAUCUUGUAAAGUGAUGAGGGGCAGUAGAUACAGAACAGGAAAUAAAAGUGAGAUAGAAAGUAAGGCUGUAGUUGUAGUUGAUUUAUCAGAAUGUAGAAAGGGCUGCUCUCUUCCUUUUUGUCUUUCUUGUCUGUGGAAAACAAGUUUUCUACAGUCUGGAGAACAGGCCCAGAUGUAGCGAAGGAUUGUCCAGAUGGGUGUGUGUGUGUGUGUGUGUGUGUGUGUGUGUGUGUGUGUGUGUGGUCUGUGUGAGAGGGUUUCUUCAUACACAGUAAACACGACAUAUUGAGACAAGCCAAGAAACUAUUGCUUUUUUUACUUUUGAGAAGGGAGUUGAGGACUGGGCAUGCAUGCUGGAUCUUCAGUCUCUUCACUGCUGUCCUGAGCUUUUCAGUGAUCUGUACACACAGCCGCUGUGAACUGCCCAGUGUUCUCAGUGAUCGGUAUAUGCAGGAGUUGUGUUUCCAAAGUACAGCUGAUGUAGGGGGGUGUUAAAUCCCAAGGGUCCUCUUUAAAGCAACAGUUAUUUUCUUUGUCUUGCUGACAGUUAUUAAGAGAGUGUUGUCCACUUGUGUUUAGGCUGAUAAAACUGGACAUCCUGUACUGGAUCCUAAGUAUGUGAGGCCUCUUGUUCAGGAAAUUUUAAAUGCAGAUACAGAGUGAAUAACUAAAAUGAGCCGUCAGUUUGCACAACUCUUUAAUAAUUGGAUUUAUCCAACUUUGACUGGUACAGCUGUAUGUUAUAGGUACGUUAUAUGUUUUGUUAGACUAGCUUUGCCAGUAUACAUGGUUGUUGAGGUUCUGAGAGGGUAAUUCAAUUUAGUUUAGGUAAUACAGCAUGGAUCACUGUCUAUUAAAUAUAAUGUUAAAACUGAAGUUCAGGAGGAAGUGUUGGAUUUCUUGAUAUCAGUAUUGAAUUAGGUCCUUUCCACCAUAUGGUACUUCAGCUUAUGCUGCAUUACAUUUACGAAAUCGGAGCUGGGAAUUACAGCCCGACAACUAUUGUUAACAAAUCCAGUUGAUAAUGAUGCACUAUGCAGUGUUUUGCACAUUAAAACACAAUAAAAACCUGUCUGUAGAUAGAAGUUGGACAGUACUAAACAGUAAUAAACUGUAGAAUACUACUGUUAAUCUGUAGGGCAGCCAUCUUGGAUUUUGUAUUUUAGGUUGGUGAGGCUGGCAGUCUUUUUUAUUUAUAUAUAUAUAUAUAUAUAUAUAUAUAUAUAUAUAUAUAUAAAGAGCUUCCAUUAGAAAUGUCCUGGUUGGAUGUCUGACAUCCCAGUUCAAAUGGAACCCUGCGUUAACACAGUGUCACAGGCUUUGGGCAGACGGGCCUUUCGCUGGGUCGUAGAAUGACAUUUCGCAUGAUCAAAAAACCUAGCUACUUCUCCUCGCCUCUCUUCUUCUUUUGUUCUCUCACAUGCUUACACAUUCUCUCCCUCACUUUCAUUCUCCUCUACUACAUAUCUCUUCCCUGCACCCCUUGCGGAUUUACUGUUGAUUACCUCUCGUUUAGAAAGAUUGGUUGGAGAAGAAAUUAGGAGCCGUCUCCUGUGUUGUCCUGUUUCUCGGGUAGAGGAUUACCAGGCGGUGCCUCUAAUCCCUCUGUUGUAACUCAUGACUGUUCUCUAGCUGCAACUUCAGCUUCUCCUCACUACUCCAGAGCUCUUUCGCCUCACUCCUUUCACAAAGCCGAAUAAACGAGUGCUCAGCCCAGCUUGAAACGCUAACUGAACACUCAUGCUGAAGGACUCUGAAGCCCUUAACGAAGGAACCUACAGUCAGUAUCACUUUAGCAGGGACUCCUGCUCCUUUUACUCCUUUUCCUUUUUUUUUUUGCCAAAGAUGAUUUCGUAUUAAGCUACUUUUUUAUCACAAAGGUUAAAAAAGGGUAAAUUCCCUCACUGUAACACUAUACAGGGACAUUGGGAAAAAGACUAAGUGUAUUUAUAUAAAAACAGUAUCAUCAUAGGGUCUUCAUAUCAACAGCUGUUUUUGAUAUCUGUUCUCUGCCUUUGCUUAUAGCUUCUGAACGAGCAUUUCUGGAUAUACAUAAACAGGAAACAAGAAACCAUAUACACUAUUAUUAAGACACAUGAAUGUUCAUUGUUUCUUUUGCAGUCAAGUGUAUUAAUCAAAAGUUUAACAAAAAGUUUGCCAUGCUUUUGUUUGACUUUUUCAAACUGUCUACAGUCCAGAAAACAUGUUUUACUAGAUUCUGUGGAUUGGUGUAAGGAUUCGGUUGCAUUAGGUGACAAUAGCAUUAAUGAGGUAUAUGUACUAAAUCUUCACCCCAUUCCAUAUGUAUUGAAUAGAACACUGGAUCUUCCACAGCUCAGUGCUCAGGAGCUUUUUACACUUCCAGCCUAUACCUAGCAUUGGGCACGACGCAAGUAGUAUCAUGUUUAUAGUAUCUGCUCCAAAGAGUCAUAUUUUAUUGGCUAUAUACUUUUCUACAAUGACUAGGCAGGCUGUGUGUGUGCACUUAUACAUCUGUCAUCAUUAGGUGCAACUUAAAAUAGCUAAAUGCUUUCAGCUUGCAUCUAAAAAAAUAGAAUAUCAUUGAAAUGUUACUUUAUUUUUAUUCUUUUCAGUACUUUUGGCAAUGUGGGCAGUGUGCCAAGUCCUGCUGGAAAAUGAAAUCUGCAUCUCCAUAAAAGUUGUCAGCAGAAAUAAAUACUUAAACUAGAUCACUCUGUAUCUAAACAUCUAUAAAAUAAGUGUCACAUUUUUAACUGAACUACUGAAAUAAAGCAAUUUUUCAAUGAUA